CGCCUUCCACGCACCCCUUGCCCCGAGCGUGGGCUCCGCCAGGCGCUCCGCUGUCCCUGCGGUGACACCACCGGCCCGUGCCCGGCCCGGACGGUGGCAUCGCCGGUCCCCGCCGCGCUCCCCUUCCCGCUCCACGGACGGAAGCACGCGGACCCUCCCGAUCGUCCAGUGCUGGAGACCAAACUCUCCUUGUCCUAUUUGGAGGCAAGUGCUGCCAUGGCCAGUGGCAAUGCAUACUUCACCUGUGCUCCCCUGUGGCUUUGCCCUGACCCCAUCCAGAAGAUAACAGGGCUGGGGUGAGUAGUUUGACUUUCUGAGGCAUUCAUCUCUCACCUCCCUGCUGAGCCUGGCGUGAAGGGUGACAAGGCUGCAAGCCUUUGUGGACAACUGGAGUGGAUUAGUGACCAAAGACUGCCCAGCAGGUGUCAUAUCCAGUGUUAUCCAUUUCCAAUUAACC
rnacentral:lncRNA from 1 species